UUAAGGGUGCAGGGCGGAUGCCUUGGCACUAGGAGCCGAUGAAGGACGUGUGAUAAGCUGCGAUAAGCUUCGGGGAGUUGCACGUAAACUUUGAUCCGAAGAUUUCCGAAUGAGGAAACUCACUUAGAGUAAUGUCUAAGUAUCAUUAAGUGAAUACAUAGCUUAAUGAGGGGAACUCAGGGAACUGAAACAUCUAAGUACCUGAAGGAAGAGAAAGAAAUUCGAUUCCGUAAGUAGCGGCGAGCGAACGCGGAUUAGCCCAAACCAAUAAAGUUUUCUUUAUUGGGGUUGCGGACAUAUCAUAACGAAGAGGUAUCGUAAUUGAAGAGGUUUGGAAAGACCCACCACAGAAGGUAAUAGUCCUGUAUGUUAAACGAGAAGACUUUAGAUAUGAUCCAGAGUACCACGGGACACGUGAAACCCUGUGGGAAGCAGGAGGGACCACCCUCCAAGGCUAAAUACUACCUAGUGACCGAUAGCGUAUAGUACCGUGAGGGAAAGGUGAAAAGAACCCCGGGAGGGGAGUGAAAUAGAACCUGAAACCCUGCACUUACAAGCUGUGGAAGCACAUUUCUUGUGUGACCGCGUACUUUUUGUAGAACGGGCCAACGAGUUACGUUAAGUAGCAAGGUUAAGCACUUAAGGUGCGGAGCCGUAGCGAAAGCGAGUUUUAACUGAGCGUUCAGUUACUUGACGUAGACCCGAAACCGGGCGACCUACCCAUGAGCAGGAUGAAGCGAAAGUAAAAUUUCGUGGAGGUCCGAACCCACGAGCGUUGAAAAGCUCGGGGAUGACUUGUGGGUAGCGGUGAAAUUCCAAUCGAGCCCGGAGAUAGCUGGUUCUCCCCGAAAUAGCUUUAGGGCUAGCCUCAAGGUGAGAGAUACGGAGGUAGAGCACUGAAUGUCCUAGGGGGUAUUGCACCUACCGAAGACUAUCAAACUCCGAAUGCCGUCAUCUUAUACUUGGGAGUCAGACUGUGGGUGAUAAGAUUCAUAGUCGAAAGGGCAACAGCCCAGAUCGUCAGCUAAGGUCCCUAAAUGUAAGUUAAGUGGUAAAGGAUGUGGGAUUGCACAGACAACCAGGAUGUUGGCUUAGAAGCAGCCACUCAUUCAAAGAGUGCGUAAUAGCUCACUGGUCGAGUGAUCCUGCGCCGAAGAUUUCCGGGGCUAAAACUUACUACCGAAGCUACGGCAUCAGUAAUGAUGGGUAGGGGAGCUUCCCAUACGGGUUGAAGCAUGACCGUAAGGACAUGUGGACAGUAUGGGAGUGAGAAUGUUGGCAUGAGUAGCGAGAUGUGGGUGAGAAUCCCACAGGCCGUAAACCCAAGGUUUCCAGGGGAAGGUUCGUCCGCCCUGGGUUAGUCGGGACCUAAGCUGAGGCCGAAAGGCGUAGGUGAUGGACAACAGGUUGAUAUUCCUGUACUACCGAUAACCGUUUGAGAGAAGGGAUGACACAGUAGGAUAAGCUAAGCACACUGUUGGUUAUGUGUGCCCAAGCAUUGAGGCAGUCAAAGUAGGCAAAUCCGCUUUGAUAAUGCUGGGAUGUGAUGGGGAGCGAAAUUUAGUAGCGAAGUAGCUGAUUUCACACUGUCAAGAAAAGUCUCUAUCGAGGUUAAAGGUACCCGUACCGCAAACCGACACAGGUGGGUGAGGAGAGUAUCCUAAGGCCAGCGAGAGAACUGUUGUUAAGGAACUCGGCAAAAUGACCCCGUAACUUAGGGAUAAGGGGUGCCACCAUCAGGUGGCCGCAGAGAAUAGGCCCAAGCGACUGUUUACCAAAAACAUAGGUUUCUGCUAAGUCGCAAGACGAUGUAUAGGAGCUGACGCCUGCCCGGUGCUGGAAGGUUAAGGGGAUCUGUUAGAGCAAUCGAAGCAGUGAACUUAAGCCCCAGUAAACGGCGGCCGUAACUAUAACGGUCCUAAGGUAGCGAAAUUCCUUGUCGGGUAAGUUCCGACCCGCACGAAAGGCGUAACGAUUUGGGCACUGUCUCAACAACAGACUCGGUGAAAUUGUAAUUCCGGUGAAGAUGCCGGAUACCUGCGACAGGACGGAAAGACCCCAUGGAGCUUUACUGUAGCUUGACAUUGGGUCUUGGUACUACAUGUACAGGAUAGGUGGGAGGCUUUGAAACCAGGACGCCAGUUUUGGCGGAGCCAUCCUUGGGAUACCACCCUUGUAGUACUGGGACUCUAACCAUAGGCCAUGAAUCUGGUCUUGGGACACUGUCAGGUGGGCAGUUUGACUGGGGCGGUCGCCUCCCAAAAGGUAACGGAGGCGCUCAAAGGUUCUCUCAGUACGGUCGGAAAUCGUACGUAGAGUGUAAAGGCAAAAGAGAGCUUGAUUGCAAGACAUACAGGUCGAGCAAGGAUGAAAAUCGGACUUAGUGAUCCGGUGGUUCUGCGUGGAAGGGCCAUCGCUCAACGGAUAAAAGCUACCCUGGGGAUAACAGGCUUAUCUCCCCCAAGAGUCCACAUCGACGGGGAGGUUUGGCACCUCGAUGUCGGCUCAUCACAUCCUGGGGCUGUAGUAGGUCCCAAGGGUUGGGCUGUUCGCCCAUUAAAGUGGUACGCGAGCUGGGUUCAGAACGUCGUGAGACAGUUCGGUCCCUAUCCGUCGCAGGCGUAGGAAAUUUGAGAAGACCUGUCCUUAGUACGAGAGGACCGGGAUGGACGUACCUCUGGUGUACCAGUUGUCCUGCCAAGGGCAUGGCUGGGUAGCUAUGUACGGAAUGGAUAAGCGCUGAAAGCAUCUAAGCGCGAAGCCAACUUCAAGAUAAGAUUUCCCACCGCAAGGGUAAGACCCCAGAAAGACUAUCUGGUUGAUAGGUCGAAGGUGUAAGUGCAGCAAUGUAUUUAGCUUAUCGAUACUAAUAGGUCGAGGACUUGACC
rnacentral:rRNA from 1 species